ensembl:lncRNA
AGAGGAUGCAUUCUGCUGGCUUCCUCGAUAAGAUAAGUCUUUAUAAAAAUAUAUAGAUUAAUGGUUAUGGUUGAUACUUAAGACAGAGCUAGUAAGUAAGAAAUCCUAGUCAUGGGCCAGUAGUAUUGUAACUAAUGUAAGACUCUUUGUGUGUAUUUGGGGGCCCUAAUGUGGCAUCGGAAUUCAGGCAGCUGUCAGAAAGAGUUAUCGUUACAGGGUGGUGUUUUGUUUUGUUCUGCAAAAACAAGGCCUAAAAAGUUCCACCAGUGUUGAUGACUUCAUGCCUCUGCUGGAAGUCAUCAUUCAAAGAAUGCAUGUGUGCCUGUGCAGACCUCACUAGGAGAAGGACAUCACCAAACUAGUAUCAUGAGAUAAUAACAAAGGGAAGGAAGAGUCAAACAAUACCUCUUGGUGUUUGAAGGUUGUCCUGUCAAGGUUGAAAUCAGAGCUAACAACAUCCAUAGGUCAUCCCAUGUGAUCUUUUACAGGUAUUCUAGGAUGGGUAAAGGACAAGACUUUGCUUCCCUCUCCAUCAGAUGUAGUGAUGGUUGCUGUUGUAAAUUUAAGAAAAGCAGCAUGAGACAGAAAGACCAUUCCACAGGAUUCAAGCAGAGGGGCUUUUUAUUAGGGGAAAAGGAUUGUAAAAAGGGAAAAGGGGAGGGGAAAGACCAGCCUCCAGGGACCGAAGAAACAGGAGAGAGGAAAGGAGAGAGAGAGACAGAGACAGAGACACAGAGAGAGACAGAGACAGAGACAUAGAGAGACAGAGGAGAGAAAGCACAGGUGGUCCUCUUAGUGGCAGCAGUUGAGGGUGUAUCUUGUCAAAACUCCAAAGGCAGGCCAGUAAAAUUCCUAAAUACUAAUAGUUGCUACUGGCAUUACAAUUACCAUGCAAUUCUCAAGAAUUAGAGGUUCUAGGAGAAUUGGAUGCUGAGACUUUACUAAUGAAUCCAAAAAGCAUUCAUUAAGAUCCUGUCAUUUUUUAAAUGAGUAACAACUUCCUAAUUUUAUUAUGACAAACCAGUCCAGAUGAAAGUGCUUUGUACAUCUAAGACCUUUUGACCUUGGAGUGCUCUUUGCUCUUCUGCAUCAUCUCUACUGGGGCCAGCACCAAAGAGCCAUUUCCAUCCAAACACCAGGUCUUAAAUCACACUCAUUUCCAGAGCCUUCAUCUAGUAGCUGAUGGAAGCAGAAGCAGAGACCCACAGCUAAAUACUGAGCUGAACUCUGGAAUCCAGUUGCAGAGAGGGAGGAAUGAUGAGCAAUGGGGUCAAGACCAGGCUGGAGAAACCCACAGAAACAGCUGACCUGAACAAGGGGGAGCUCAUGGACCCCAGACUGAUAGCUGGCAAACCAGCAUAGGACUGUUCCAGACCCCCUGAACCUGGAUGUCAGUUUAGAGACUUCUUUCAAGCUGUUUUCACAAAGGAAAUACCCCAGCCUGAACCUGUGGCCAAGCAAAAAGUUCCAUCUACACGUGGCAGAAAGCUGUGCUUCACUCCAAAGACUGAGAAUCCAGGUCGCAGAUCCAGGGCAGUUCACAGGAACAGGCCUUAGGGAGAAGAGGUAUCUAGCAACAUGAGGAAGCCGACCCAAAGCCAGAAAAACCCCAGAACUCUUUGUCCCCUGUGAUGUCUGGAAUUUUGGAUGCUACAGCAUCUUGGCAGUCUCCAGCUCAUAGUCUACGGCCUUGUUUUCCACACAAGCUGUCUCUGCUCUUUGUGCUCUUGAGGCAGACUAAGGAGCUGGAACUGGACUUCUUAUAUAUGUAGUAUCCCUCUGAGCCCUGGGGAUGUGUAUAAUGUGUCCCUCAUCUCUGAACAUCUAGAUUGCUUUUUAAACGUCUGCUAAUGUGUCUGGCUCCCCACUGCGGGAUAAGCUUGCCCAAGGGCCCUGGAUCUCAUUCAUCUAAUGUUCGUAGAACCCACAGGCUGCUUAACUUACAGUAAGCAAUUU